AACAUAGUUCAAAGUCAAACUAUAAUGCCUACUCUGAAGCUUGUUGUCAAGGAAUUUGCGGGUCUACCUCUGACAAUUAUCGUCGUAGCUGGUACAUUGAAAGGAGAAGAGGACUCUCUUAAUUGGAAGAACGCACUCAGGGAAUUGAAAGAGAGAAUAGAAAAAGUGGAAGGAGUGGAAGCUAAGGUAAUCGAGCGCUUGAAAUUUAGCUUCGAUCACUUAAAGGACGAGAAAGUGAAAUAUUGUUUCUUACAUUGCGUAUUAUAUCCCGAAGAUUUUGGAAUUGAAAAGGAUGAAAUAAUUGAGUGCUGGAUUGAGGAGGGAUUCAUAGAUGAUAUGGGUACAAGACAAGAAAUGAAAGACAAGGGCCGUGUUAUUUUGAAGAAGUUAGAAGAGAAUUGCUUGCUGGAAAAUAUUACCAAUAAAAGUGGUCAACCUUGCAUAAAGAUGCAUGAUGCAGUGAGAGAGAUGGCAUUGUCGAUCACAAGAAUGAAUCCUCGACAUAUGAUACAAGUAGGUUUGCAAUUAGAAGAGUUACCAGAAAAGGAGCAACGGAGUUCGGAUAUUGAGAAAGUGUCACUUAUGUAUAACUCCAUAUCAGAAAUUUCCAUAGAUGUGCUGCCCACAAAAUGUCAACUGCUCACAACCUUGUUAUUGCAGGAGAACCCUAUAAAGAAGAUCUCAAUUUCUUUCUUCAUAAACAUGCCUUGUCUUAGUGUUCUCAAUUUGUCCUCUACGAAGAUCAAAAGUUUACCAAAUUCCAUCUCUGAACUAAAGAACCUCACAACAUUGUUGCUUUCUGGCUGUUAUGAAUUAAGAGCUCUGCCAUGUCUUUCGAUGCUUCAAGAAUUGAAGAAGUUGGAUCUAAGUUGGACUAGAAUUGAGGAAGUACCUGAUGGCAUGGAUAUGCUGAUAAAGCUAAGAUAUCUUGAUGUUCGAGUGUUCACUCUGAAAGAGAUAUCCGCUGGACUUUUACCAAAACUCGUUCACCUUCAGCACUUGGGUUUUCAUAAGGACAAUAAAAGAAUCAGUCUAAAAGCAGAGGAGAUGGAACCAUUGAAGAAGUUGGAGUGCUUAACCGGACAUUUCGAAGACAUCAGUGAAUUCAGUAAGUUCAUCUCCUCAAUGCAACAAAGUAGGAAAAAUCUCAUCAAGUACGAUUUACAGGUGGGCUCAUCUUUUAUGCGUGCUACAAGAGAUAAAGCAGUAACAAUUGGAGGAUUCCAUGAUUGGGAAGGUGAGUUAAUUAUGCACCCAAUUGAAAUUCAAGAGUUGAAUAUUUUAAAGUGCCACAAUUUGAGAAGCUUAGUCAAUGAUAAUUCUUCCUUCAAAAAUGCGAUUGGCUUGAGGGUUUGGUGGUGUGAAGGGAUAGAGUGUGUUGUUUCCCUGUCCUCUUUUGCCUCUUCUUCCGCUCAUCCAUUUCAGAGCCUCGAGAUGUUGGACCUUAGUGAGCUACCAAAGUUGAGUGCCCUUAUUAUGAAAGAUGAAGGAAUUGGUUCAGCAACAACAUCAACAUUGGCUCCAUCUGCCGCCUUUUCCCAUCUUAAGGAAAUUACGAUAGACAGCUGCUCAAGUAUGAAGAGGUUGCUUCCACAUUGGUUGCUUCCAAACCUCCAAAACCUGGAAGUAAUAUCAGUGUCACACUGUGAUAAGGUACCAGAAAUAUUGGGAGCACCAACAUCAGAAGUUGAAGAAAAAGGGAGUGAUGCAUUAAUCAAAUUCCAUCUUCCUAAAUUGAGAAAGUUGAAAUUGUGGAGAUUACCAAAUUUGAAGAGCAUUUGCAGCAAAAGUGGAGUGAUGGUUUGCGAUUCUCUCCAAGUUAUCCAAGUUGCUGGAGACUGUUAUAAACUGAAGAGAAUUCCUCCAUUUGUUCCCCUUGUUGGCAAUGGGCAGCCAUUUGCAUAUGCUCCACCUUCUCUUACCAUCUGGUCAUUGAAAAAAUGGUGGGAAAGGUUAGAGUGGGAUGACCAUCCAAACUUUAAAAAUGUUGUUCAACCCCUUUGGAAGCUUUUAAGGUAUGAACCAUUUAUAGCUUAGUUUAUUUUAUAAAUCUAAUUUCUCCAUUUUAAUACCAUUUCAUGUUAUAUUUUAUUUUUGUUUUAAGUUAAGAUGAUGUGGCCUCCAUUGGUGCGAAAGAAGUAGAAGACAGUAGCAGAGCGGAGGAUGGUGCAAAAAAGGUGGGAAUAAAAGGAAUGAUGGAGCAUUGAGGAAUUGAGCAGCCACCAUAAUAAUUGACUCCUUUUCCAUUUUAAUAUCAAAUUAUUUUAUUUGUAUUUUUAUAUAAAACAAUUAAAUUCAAAUAUUAUAUAAAAAAUCUUUAUAUUUGUUAAUUGAAUUGAUGUAAUUCGUUAAUUGGAUUUUAAUAUUAUUUUCAUAAAAUAACAAAUAUUAUUUUGAGAAUAUUUUUAUUUUUUACAUAAAAUUUUAAAAUAUAUAUGUACAUGUUGAAAUUUAAAUCUAAAACAUCACAUUCUUUAAUACCUCAAUUCUAUUAUUUAAAAUUAUAGUACUCUUUGCUUAUAUUGAUCUAUUGGCAUAAUCUUAAUUAGAUAUGUUUGUAUUGAUCGUAAAGUGAAAUUAUUUUUCUUAACAUUUAUAAAUGAUUAAUAUUAAAAUAUUUGAAAUUAAAAAUAAAUUACUAAAAAUAAAUUUUAAAAAAUUUUAGAUUUAAAAUGGAAUUAAAAUAUAAUAUCAAAUUAUUACUACCUUUAUAGUAUAAUUUAUUGGAUAAACUACACUGUAGGUUAUUCUAAAACAACAUUAUUUCUAUUUUGGUCACUUUAUUUUUUUAUCAAUUUAGUCACUCUAAUUAAAAUAAUUGUUCGAAUUAGACAUUGCCAUAACAUUUUUUUUUUUUACUUUUGACUAAAGCUAGAGACUUUUCUAUUAGCUCAAAACAUUUGUUUUUGUUUAUUUGCAGCAUAAGAACCACGUAUGCUUGUCACCACUCAUCCUUUGCUUUCCAUCUCUAUUGCUCCUCACUGCACCAUAAGAACCACGUUUCAUCACAAUGGUGUACAAAGAGUGUUGGUUGUGUUUUGACUAUCGUACAAAUUAGUGUAGAAAUACAACCGGCAAACUUCCGAGUGGAUACUAUUGGGAAACUAUAGGUGAAGUCGGAGCGAAAAACACAAGCUGUCAUGUAAGGACCUACGGCUAUCGUCGAAUCUUGCAUGGCGACUGGGGAUAUGACGGAUUUUUUAGUUCUGACGAGGAUCUUGGAUCCGAUAUCCAGAGUCCAUUUCCACUUAUCGUUAUUGUAUAGCUCAGAUUUUUUGCCAAGAAUCUUCUUGGUUAGAACAUAGUAAUAGCUAAGACAAGGUGAAAGAGAAGCAACAAGGAAGCUAAAAUGGUAACAAGCUUGGGAAAGGAUUGAGUAGAAACUGACUUCUUCAUGGACUCAGUAUGGGAUCCAGGAAGGGAAAAAAUCAAUCUUUAAGAACAAAUGAAAAAAACCAAAGGAAUCCGCUUUCAAAUAAAUUUACCUUUGAGGCUUUGUUAGUGUUUUAAAUUAAUUAUAGAGAAAUUCUUAAUUUUAGUAAAAAGUAAAAAAUGAAUGUCAUAUCAACAAUCAGUUAGUGGGUUAAUACGAUAGUGACCAAUUCAAAUAAUUAGUAUAAUAAAAAAAUUUGCUCUUUUUAACUUUUACAUAUUAUAUCAUCAAUUUGGCAUAAUUUUAAAAAAAUAACCUUCAAAAUUACAAAUGAUCUCUAUUUCAUCAUCAAAUUUUACCUACCUAAUUUAUCGUUAAAUAGUAGCAGAUAUAUUCUGUUUGGACGAUUUUUGGGUUGACAUAUUCUUUUCAGCUGAAUGCUAAUAAUAACAAUAAUAUGAUGAAACACUGGAGUAAUUUCUUAUGUGACGGCCUUCAUUUCACUCACUAGUUGCAUGUUUAUUGUUCAUGCACUGAUUAAACAAGAUUUGAAAAAGGCUAAAAGCAUGAGCAUGCAACACUGAAUUGUCAAAUACUCAAUAGUAUAAGAUUGAAAUGGUGUUUUUUUUGCAGGAACAAUAGGUGAUUUGCAGAAUCAUACACAAAACAGGCGAGAAAAAAAAUGGGGUAGCUGCUGCGCAAGGACAAGGCUAUCUCUUGAAACUUUCUUCAAUAUCUUCAACAGCAAAGCAACAACUUGCUUUCGUCCACUGCUUGAAAUCCCAAUUCCGUUUAGAAUCUCAAGCUCAAGCUUCAGUGCAGGCUGCCCCUUACUCUUUUAUGGAACGUGAAAAAGCCUAAUAAACCCAGUUGUGUAUCCAACUAAUGGGUUCCAACCCUCCUUUUCAGCCACUUCCACCUAGCACACUUGAUUUAUAAAUUUUGAAAUUUAAUUUUUUAAAAUUAUGCAUGUCAAAGUUGAUAGAUAAAUUUAUUGUUAUAUCGAUUUUUAACUGCCACAUCACCCUCCGAUUAAAGUUUUAAGGCACUUAACGAAAAUGGAUAAAAAAAAUAAUCUCAAUUAGUUGAGUGACCAAAUUAAAAAUAAAUUAAUAGUUAGUGAUCAAAAAGAAAAGGGACAAUAAUUAGAUGACCUGUGAUGUAGUUUACCCAUAUCUUUUUAAAAGCGUAUAUAUAUAUUUAUAACUGUCAUCAUUCGUAUAGAAAUGUCACAAAUAUUAAAUCAUUAAAUUGCAUGUUUCAAAAAAAAAUUAUUAAUUCAUUUUUUAAGAUUAGUAAUUAAUAGAAAUAGGAUCAAAAACAUUCAUACUAAACUUAACUAAACAAUCUUAUAAUUUGGUCACUCAUGUUUUCGAAAUUAUUUGUUUUCUUCACUCGACUGUUAAGUGGCACUUAUUUUAAUUGAUACAAUAAUAAUUUUAGUCUUUAAAUUUGACCUUGAUUUUAUACAAAAGUUAUAAAAAAAAUCUCAAAAUUAUGUAUAAAAUAGAAAUUUUCAUAUAAAAAUUCUAGAAAAAUAAAAUCUUGAAUAUGUUGUUACAUAACUAAAUUGUAUAAGAAAUAAAGAAAAUUAGCAUUUAAUAGAAUCUAAUAAUAAAUUAAAAAUAAAAAAAAAAGUUAGAUCAUUACAUGCUUCAUCAAUGUUUCUUGAAACUAAAUUAGUAAUAUUAUUAAGUUGAGUUUCAUGUCCUUAAAGAAUAUCUAGAAUUGAUAUUGCAGAGGCUUAUGAAAUUGACCUUGAUGCCAUUUUUUUUAACCAAAAGAUUUUAUGUUUCAAACUCAAUUCAAUUUUUCAUUACAUUUAAAUUAUUUUUUGAAACUGAAAUUGUAAAAAGAAAUCAUAUUCAGAAUUUUAUUUUUUCUUGUAAGGUAAAAUUAUGUCAAGAAACAGAGGAGGUAAAAAACAUAGAACAAAUAAAUCAGCUUAAUGUUUGUUUUCUAAGUUUGUUUUUAAAGAACGAGUAUUGGAUAUUUCAAUAUACAUAAUAUAGAGAAUUUCUGUAGGGUUUAAAAACAAUUAUCCCUCAUUUUCUCUCACUUUAUUUAUUUUUGAAAAUUUUAUCAACUUUAUUUAAUUUUUAAUUUUAUAAUGUACUAAAAUUUUAAAAAUAAUUUAUUUUUUACCAUUUUAUAUAUUAUCAAGAUUAAAUCGAGUAAAAAUAUAAAACUUAAAAAAAAAGACUAAAAUAACAAUUAUAUUAAUCAAAAGAAUACCACUUAACAAUGGAGUAUGUAAGAAAUUGUCCAAGAGUUAAAUCCAAAAUGUAAUAUCAACAACACAAGUUAUUUACUACAACACCAAUAACUAUAUAUAUUUUUUUAUAACUAAUACAAGUCAUUUACUAGUAUAUUAGACAUUCUUAUACCCUGCUUUCCCAUACAUUCCCAUGAUGAUGAUGAUGAUGAUGAUGAUGAUGAUGAUGUUACAAUUGAGCACCAAGAUGACUGCAAAACUUGUUAGUAUUGUCCAGGAUGAAUCGAAAGGACAUUUCCAUGGAUUUUAGACCUCAUAUCUAUCUUUCAAAUUUUGAGAGCAGAUUCAAGGUUUUAUCAAGUAGAAAUGUCAGUAUCAAAUACCCAAGAUGCCAACUUAUAAUGGCAGACAGCAAAGCAAAAAGCUAAAAGAAAAUAUGGGAUUUCUUACUAAAAAUCCUGCCUUUCUGGAACCCACCACAGAAGUGAAUGCCUCAUUAUUUUGCCCCUUUUUAUCUUCACUUUCUUCCUUGUUUUGCUAUUGUACCCACAACAUUCUUUCUUCUUCACUGUUUUUAUGAAGCAUCCAGUCAAGGUAAUUUUCUUUCAUUUGCUUAAUCCAUGACAUGCUUUUCAUUCCUUAGUUCAUGACUAUGCAAUGAUUGUUUUUUAUUAUCUGCUUCAGUUAUAGCAGUUUGCUUUGUAAGAUAGUCAAGGGAGUGAACUUCACUGCUUCAUUUUCAGUUCUAAUCUCUCAACACUUUUCAACCAGUAGGUCAGGCAAUUUAUGCUUCCCAUUCUUUGAUCCUUAAAUAUGCAAUUCAGCUCUUUUGAAAAUUUGUUUGCUUAUUAUCAACUCAUGACAUGAUUUCCUUUGCUUUUACAUAACAAGAAAGAUGAAUAUUUGUAAUAAGAUCUGAAGCUAUGAUUUCCUCUGCUGAAUAUCAACAGUUUUAGAUUUCAAGACUGGAUGAUCAGCAGACAUAAUCUACUAUAGUUAGAAAUUAAUACCAAAAGAGCUACCCAGAAGCAAUAUAAUGUUGAAAUCCCAAACUGUUGAACAUUUUACCUCUUAAUAUUCUGUUGCACACUUGAAUCUAACAUUUUCUAUACAUUGAGAGGUUAAUUCUGGAUAUACAAAUUUCAUCAUGUUUCUGUCUGCCACCAUCCAUAGCUCCAUCUAAUAAACGCCAUUGCUUGAAACUUGCAUUCAUGCUUACACUGACAUAUCAAAAAGCCAAUACAUUCACAGAUUUUCAUUAUCUGCUACUGUUAUAUAUGAUUGCGUUGCAGGGACAUAGCAAUGGAGUACGUAGAGCCCGUUGUCGGCAUUGCAAAUUGUCUUGGAACUCUUGCCUGUAAAUACUUGCAAUAUCACAGAAAGCUCAAUGAUUAUGUGAGAAACUUCAAGAGGAUGAGAGAUGAGUUGAAUUGCAAAAUGGAAGAUAUAGAGCUGCAAUUGAAAGCAGAGCUUCUUCGUCCUCUGGGGAAGAUACCGAAGAAGGGAGUUGAAAUUUGGUUGAAAGCUGUGAAAGAGAUGAUUAGGGAAGCAGAAGUUGUUGAAAACAAAGUCAGUAACGGGAGAUAUCUCUGUCGUGCUUGCAACGGGAAGCUGGUUGAUGAAAAGACUCGAGAAAUGAAGGAAUUUCUUGAUAAAGCUCCUAAUGCCUCUGAAUGUCUUGCCAUAAAUGGUCCAGGUGCUGGGUUGCCGCUGCCAACAUCAGAACUAGUUGGAGAGGAAGCUGUCAGAAAUGAGAUUUGGGCAUGCUUGGUACAGGAGAAGGUGAGCAAGAUUGGGGUUUGGGGGAUGGGCGGUGUGGGUAAAACCACUAUCAUGAAGCACAUCCACAAUGAUCUUUUGAAAGAACAAAGAUUCGAAAGGGUAAUCUGGGUUACCAUAUCAAAGGAGUUCAAUGUCAUGAAGGUACAAGAUGAUAUUGCAGAUGCUUUGAAGUUGAAGGAAGAUUGGCCCAGAGAAGGAGACAAGCUCAGACGAGCAGCAAUCUUGUCUGAAAUGCUGAAGAACGCCGAAAAGCAUGUUCUAAUCCUAGAUGAUGUGUGGGAUAAAGUCUCUCUAGAAGAAGUUGGGAUCCCCGAGCCGAGUGGCAGCAAUGGCUGCAAGUUGGUGUUGACAACCCGUUCGGAGCAUGUCUGUAAGUAUAUGGGUUGUAAGGUGAUAAAAGUGAAGCCCCUUUCAGAAGAAGAGGCAUUGAUACUAUUCUUGAAUAAAGUUGGACCUAACAUAGUUCAAAGUCAAACUAUAAUGCCUACUCUGAAGCUUGUUGUCAAGGAAUUUGCGGGUCUACCUCUGACAAUUAUCGUCGUAGCUGGUACAUUGAAAGGAGAAGAGGACCCUCUUAAUUGGAAGAACGCACUCAGGGAAUUGAAAGAGAGAAUAGAAAAAGUGGAAGGAGUGGAAGCUAAGGUAAUCGAGCGCUUGAAAUUUAGCUUC
rnacentral:lncRNA from 1 species